GUCAAGGACACCCCUAGUUCGGCUGGAGGCUCUCAUCAGCUGCAACUAUGCCCUCACCUGACAGAUGAGAGUAUUAGCUUGGAGCUGGUCGAGUCCACUCAUGAUCAGCAAGUUGAAUUGUUGCAUGCUACUGUGGAAGAAGAGUGCCAGCACGAAGAUGCAGCCACAUCGUAUUCUACCACAUCAGCGGAGAAAUUUGCAUCUCUGCUACAGCUUGCUGUGGGGCCAAAUGCUAGGGUGUGUUUUUUUUUUUUGGGUGCUUCGACACAGUGUCCUUGACACCUGGGGCAGUGAGGGACCUUUGCGGAGUUUGUGACGAUGUUUUCGCACUGCUGGUAGGUCUACUGCCUGAAGUGAGGGAUAAGACAACUGAUGUAAGCCUUGCCAACAAACUUUUAAUAUUUCUAUUCAAGAUGAAACAUGGAUUGCCUUUCAGUGCCAUUGCAGCGCUUUUUGGCAUUCAUGAGACAACAGCAUCACGAAUUUUUCAUGCAGUUUUAAGCACACUGGCAAAUGCAACACGAAAGUGGAUUUACAAGCCACAGAUGCACGUUAUAAAGGACACACGUCCAGAGUGCUUUAAAAUAAAUUAUCCAGAUUGCA